rnacentral:rRNA from 1 species
AGAGUUUGAUCAUGGCUCAGAGCGAACGCUGGCGGCGUACCUAACACAUGCAAGUCGAACGGGGAUCACAGGGUUAGCAAUAACUCCGUGGUUCUAGUGGCGCACGGGUGAGUAACACGUGGGUAACCUGCCCUUGAGACUGGGAUACCCCCUCGAAAGGGGGGCUAAUACCGGAUACGUUCCUCGGAUCGAAAGGUCUGAGGAGGAAAGGUGGCGAAAGCUGCCGCUCUUGGAGGGGCUCGCGGCCUAUCAGCUAGUUGGCGGGGUAACGGCCCACCAAGGCUAUGACGGGUAGCUGGUCUGAGAGGACGACCAGCCACACGGGGACUGAGACACGGCCCCGACUCCUACGGGAGGCAGCAGUGGGGAAUUUUCCGCAAUGGGCGAAAGCCUGACGGAGUGACGCCGCGUGUGGGACGAAGGCCUUCGGGUCGUAAACCACUGUCAGUGGGAAAGAUGGGUGUCGGCGCGAUAACCGCCGGCAUUUGACGGUACCUGCAGAGGAAGCCCCGGCUAACUCUGUGCCAGCAGCCGCGGUAAGACAGAGGGGGCAAGCGUUGCUCGGAAUUACUGGGCGUAAAGGGCGCGUAGGCGGGAUGGCAAGUCGGUCGUGAAAUCCCUCGGCUCAACUGAGGAUCGUCGAUCGAUACUGCCGUUCUUGAGGAUUGCAGAGGAGACUGGAAUUCCCGGUGUAGCGGUGAAAUGUGUAGAGAUCGGGAGGAACACCGGUGGCGAAGGCGGGUCUCUGGGCAAUUCCUGACGCUGAGGCGCGAAAGCGUGGGGAGCAAACGGGAUUAGAUACCCCGGUAGUCCACGCUGUAAACGAUGACGACUAGGUGUGGGGGGUUCAGUCCCUUCCGUGCCGCAGCUAACGCAUUAAGUCGUCCGCCUGGGGGAGUACGGCCGCAAGGUUGAAACUCAAAGGAAUUGACGG